AACGCGAAGAACCUUACCAAGGUUUGACAUGCAGGGAAAAGCCGUGGAGACACGGUGUCCGUAAGGGCCCUGCACAGGUGGUGCAUGGCUGUCGUCAGCUCGUGUCGUGAGAUGUUGGGUUAAGUCCCGCAACGAGCGCAACCCUCGUCCUAUGUUGCCAGCGGGUAAUGCCGGGGACUCAUAGGAGACUGCCGGGGUCAACUCGGAGGAAGGUGGGGAUGAGGUCAAGUCAUCAUGCCCCUUAUGUCUUGGGCUGCAAACAUGCUACAAUGGCCGGUACAGAGGGCUGCGAGACCGCAAGGUGGAGCGAAUCUCAAAAAGCCGGUCUCAGUUCGGAUUGGGGUCUGCAACUCGACCCCAUGAAGUCGGAGUCGCUAGUAAUCGCGAAUCAGCAACGUCGCGGUGAAUACGUUCCCGGGCCUUGUA
rnacentral:rRNA from 1 species